GCAGCUCAGUGCUAGAGCAUCUGCCUUGCAUGCAGAAUUUCCCAGGUUCAAUUCCUGCCAUCUCCA